rnacentral:rRNA from 1 species
GAUGAACGCUGGCGGCGUGCUUAACACAUGCAAGUCGAACGAGGAUUUAACGGAAUGCGAUUCGUCAAAUGAAAUUAAUCCGAGUGGCGGACGGGUGAGUAACGCGUGGAUAACCUGCCUCACACAGGGGGACAACAGUUGGAAACGACUGCUAAUACCGCAUAAGCGCACGGUAUCGCAUGAUACAGUGUGAAAAACUCCGGUGGUAUAAGAUGGACCCGCGUCUGAUUAGCUUGUUGGUGAGGUAACGGCCCACCAAGGCGACGAUCAGUAGCCGGACUGAGAGGUUGACCGGCCACAUUGGGACUGAGAUACGGCCCAGACUCCUACGGGAGGCAGCAGUGGGGAAUAUUGGGCAAUGGGCGCAAGCCUGACCCAGCAACGCCGCGUGAAGGAAGAAGGCUUUCGGGUUGUAAACUUCUUUUAAGAGGGACGAAGAAGUGACGGUACCUCUUGAAUAAGCCACGGCUAACUACGUG